rnacentral:rRNA from 1 species
UACGUAGGGACCAAGCGUUGUUCGGAUUUACUGGGCGUAAAGGGCGCGUAGGCGGCUUGACAAGUCACUUGUGAAAUCUCCGGGCUUAACUCGGAACGGUCAAGUGAUACUGUCGCGCUAGAGUGCGGAAGGGGCAAUCAGAAUUCUUGGUGUAGCGGUGAAAUGCGUAGAUAUCAAGAGGAAUACCUGAGGUGAAGACGGGUUGCUAGGCCGACACUGACGCUGAAGCGCGAAAGCCAGGGGAGCAAACGGG